UACGUAGGGUGCGAGCGUUGUCCGGAAUUAUUGGGCGUAAAGAGCUCGUAGGCGGUGUGUCACGUCGGCCGUGAAAACCUGCAGCUUAACUGUGGGCGUGCGGUCGAUACGGGCAUCACUGGAGUUCGGCAGGGGAGACUGGAAUUCCUGGUGUAGCGGUGAAAUGCGCAGAUAUCAGGAGGAACACCGGUGGCGAAGGCGGGUCUCUGGGCCGACACUGACGCUGAUGCGCGAAAGCCAGGGGAGCGAACGGG
rnacentral:rRNA from 1 species